rnacentral:rRNA from 1 species
CAGAGGGGGCAAGCGUUGCUCGGAAUCACUGGGCGUAAAGGGCGCGUAGGCGGGAUGGCAAGUCAGUCGUGAAAUCUCUCGGCUCAACCGAGAAAGGUCGGCUGAUACUGCCGUUCUUGAGGGAUGCAGAGGAGACUGGAAUUCCCGGUGUAGCGGUGAAAUGUGUAGAGAUCGGGAGGAACACCGGUGGCGAAGGCGGGUCUCUGGGCAUCUCCUGACGCUGAGGCGCGAAAGCGUGGGGAGCAAACGGGAUUAGAUACCCCGGUAGUCCACGCUGUAAACGAUGACGACUAGGUGUGGGGUGGUUCAGUCCAUUCCGUGCCGCAGCUAACGCAUUAAGUCGUCCGCCUGGGGAGUACGGCCGCAAGGUUG